AGUGCUAAGAUUACAGGUGUGAAUCCUCAUGCCCCGGACUUAUUUUAUUUUUGACAAUUCCCGUCAUCGUAACUGCAACAGAGUUUGCUUUCUUUGAAAUUAAUCAAAAUGUAUAAGGAACUUUACGGAACAACCCUUAACAGAGCUAUCCUCAUGCAACAGAGAGGCGUGGAAGAGAGUGGUUAAGAAUACGGAUUUGGUCGGGUGUGGUGGCUCACACCUGUAAUCCCAGCAGUUUGGAAGGCUGAAGUGGGAGGAUUGCUGGAGCCCAGGAGUUUGAGACCAGCCUGGGCAACAUAGCGAGACCCUGUCUCUACUUUCAAAUUUUUUUUAAAUAACAAUUGAAAAAGAAUAUGGGUUUGAAUUCCGUCCUCCACUCACUGGCAUUAUGACCCUGGGCUAAUUGGCCUUGCUUGUAUAUUAAUUUCCCCCUCUGUAAAAUUGGGGAUAAUAAUAGCACUUGCUGCUAAGGCGCAUGUGUGAGUCACCUCGGCACUCAAUAAAUGUGUGCUCAAGUAGCUUAAAAAAGUGCAAGUUGCAAACCUCAUGAUGAUUUUGCUAAAAUAAAAUCAUAACCAAUACUGUUCUGUUUGCAUCAUAGUUUAACAUUUGAAAAGAAUGCCAUCUUUAUUAUAUUAGCAUGUUUUGCUGGAGAUUUAUUAUUUCAAAUAUUUUACAGUAAUUUUUAUUUUAUCAAAAUAAGUUUGUUUUAGGUAUUAAAAAUUGCACCUAUAAAUUGCAAAAUAAACGUGUUUUGUUAUACGUGGUAGUGGCACGGGUAGUGGGGUGGAGCAAAGGACUUUGUAUUAGGGUCCAUUUGUAUGAGUUAUAAUCCCAAGGGGGACAACACUAGAGUUAAAUCAGGAACAGCGCUUGGAAGAGGAAACCUAAAGUCAUAAUUUUAAGUAAAUAUAUGUGAUUUAUAGGAGGACGAUUUUUGCUAGGCCUUGGGUUAGGCUGCUGAACUCCAGUUCUGCCAAACAGUGAUGCAGGCAGGAUUCAGAAGUCAAACCUGAAUGCUUUGGGCUGAAGUUUGCUGUGAAACUUUCAGGACAAAGACCCCAAACAAUAUGAUCUUUUGAACAAACUAAGAAAUUCAAACUGAGUGGUGUUAGAUUUUUAAAAUACACCUGAUUUGGAAGUUGAUCCCAUAGAUGGUUAUCACAAAGUCAUCCCAUCACAAUUUUAACUUCAGUGCAGUGGCAUUUUACUAGUUUUUGAGGCAGAGUGAAAGGAAAGACACCAUGUCUGUAUUAGAAAAAAAGUAGGUCUUGGCCAGGCGUGGUGGCUCACGCCUGUAAUCCCAGCCCUUUGGGAGGCCGAGGCGGGCAGAUCACUUGAGGUCGGGAGUUCGAGACCAGCCUGAUCAACAUGAAGAAACCCCAUCUCCUCUAAAAAUACAAAAAUUAGCCAGCCGUGGUGGUGCAUGCUUGUAAUCCCAGCUACUUGGGAGGCUGAGGCAGGAGAAUCGCUUGAACCCAGGAGGUGGAGGUUGCAGUGAGCUGAGAUUGCACCAUUUCACUCCAGCCUGGGCAACAAGAGUGAAACUCCGUCUCAAAGAAAAAAAAAAAAGAAAAAAAGCAGAUCUUUUCUGGAAACGUUCUUCAACUAUUCCAGGUAACUUCCAGUAGGAUCUCACAUAUAUACAGCAGAAUAAAAGAUACCAUGGAUGCACUCACCCAGGGCCUUCUGGAAUACAGCUUACCUGUUAGAUUAAGGCCUUGCCCUUCUGCUGAUUUUCCCUCCACACCCACCCAGAUUUGGCCCUGCCAAUCAGCAUGAUCCUCCACACCUUUGCCUUUGCGCUGUACCCAGAGGUGCUUGGGGCACAACCAUCAGCACUGGGUCCUGAGUCCCUAGGACCUCGCAAUGAUACCUCUCUUCCCCAGUGAAAAUUCAAGGAUCUUUACCUUCGCAGAGGUGAACUUUUGUUUCUUUCUUGCUUUCAAAACCAGGAAGGGAGUCAAAUCACAUUUCCUUGGCUUUUUAGCAUCCAUUUGAGUCCUGCAUGAGGGAAAGUAAAAAAUAAAUUGGCAGGAGGAGUCAAAUCUAAGUAAUGGCCCACACACUCAGGGACAGAAGAAAGCAGGCAGGUUUGAAGAAAAGAAGGCAACAGUUCUAUUAAUAAUUGACUUACUGCAAGACAAAAAAAACCUUGCACACAUUUAUGGAAUCUAGUGUAAGCAGUAAUUUCUAUAAGUGGAAGGUGAGUCUCAGAGGGGUCUCAGGACACUUACAUUCCCUGUUACAUUAGCAGAGUACAGCUGAAACCGCUUGCUCUGUGUCCUUUGCAAGUCCCUUUUCGGCUUCUAGCUUUAGCCAAGAGCCAGAGGAAUCAAGAAUACAAGAAACAAGGGCAGAACAGGAACCAAUGCAAAUAUUAUGACAGCUUCUGCAAAUCACUCCACUGGCAGGCUCUUGCAGACACCAUAUAAAUGAUGAUGGCACCACAACUUUGAAAGUAUUCAGAGGAUUAAAGAAAAGUCAUGCUAACAUUUCUUGCAGUAUAACUAUUGAAAAAUCAGAACUUGUCCAUAAUGGGAAGUUAACAAUUCAUGGCACACAUAUGUUUUAUGAAAUAUAAUGCAGCCAUUUAAAAAAUAAGAUAGAUCUUUAUAUGUGCCCAUAAUGUAUUGAGCAAAAACAGUAGAACAUGUGUGUAAUAUAAUUCUAUAUUUAUUUAACAGAAAACAAAAUGCUUGCAUGUCUUUAUACAGGCAUAUUGAAAGAUCUAGAAGAAAUGAACUGUAAUAGUGACCUCUUCUCAGUAGGGCUGGGGGAGGUAAGUAGGAACAUUAACUUUAACAUACACACACAUACAGACAAUAUGAAAAAAUCCUGCACAAAAGCAAACAAAAAUUACCAGUAACUUCUCUGCUUAAGAUCAUAGUUUCACUUCUUCCUUCUCUUCCUUUCUUUCUAUAAACAUUUGCUGAGACAAUUUCACUGAUAAACCAGACAUGGUCUCUGCCCUCAAAGAAAACUCCUUAUCCAGGAAAGGAGGUACAUAGAAGAAAGUAGAUCAUGACAAUGCAUGUGAUCGAUGUAUUAAUACAGCCUUCUGCAACCAGCUCCCAGAGCAUGUUUCCAGGUGUUGACUAAGUCAGCUGGAGGAGCUGAGGAAGCCUUCACGCUUGAGCAGGGUAGAACCAUCUCUGAAGAAUGAGCAGAGCAGGCAGGAGUGUCAAGGGCAGAUGGAGGAGGACACACAAAGAACAUAAAUAUGAAAGAACAUUGUUUUUUCCAGAAAUUUUGAGCACUGUCCUUGGACAUUGCCGAUGGAGGGCCAGGGAGGUAGAUUAGGUUGUAAAGGGGCACGUAGUCCAAGUUAGAGUCUUGGAGCCUGCGUGGCUAUGCUAAACCUGGGCUGAAGAUCAGAUUUGUAUUCUGGUACCAUUUCUCUGGCAAUAUCACGAAGCACGAUUUGGAGGAACUAGGAAGGCAUUUUGGGUGUCUAGAUAAGAGUGAAUGAGAGCCUCAACCAAGGCACUGACAGUGGGGAUAGAAGUAUGAACUUGGGAAAGAUUUGGGAGACAGAACAGGUAGAAUUGUGGCCAUCAACUGGACAUGGGAUUUGUAAAAUCGCAACAUUGGGCAAAAAUGAACACAAAAAUUUUUCCUGCCAAGACUCUGUAUCGAGUGUUGCCUUCCUUUACUUCACAGAGAUGUAGGAGACUAUGAAAGUACAUGUGGGAUGGGCAUGGUGGCUCACGCCUGUAAUCCCAGCACUUUGGGAGGCCGUGGCGGGUGGAUCAUCUGAGGUCAGGAAUUCAAGACCAGCCUGGCCAACAUGGUGAAACUCCAUCUCUACUAAAAAUACAAAAGAAGUUAGCUGUGUGUGGUGCCUCACGCCUGUAAUCCCAGCUACUCGGGAGGAUGAGGCAGGAGAAUCUCCUGAAUCCGGAAGGCAGAGGUUGCAGUGAGCGGAGAUUGCACCACUGCACUCCAGCCUGGGCAACAGAGCAAGACUCCAUCUUAAAAAAAAAAAAAAAAGUAAAUGUGAAAUCUUCCAAACAGCUGGAGCCCUUUCCUCUGUUCAGCUCUGACAGCGCUGGAGGCAGAGAAGGAGCAAACACUGAAGGAAACGCUGAGGAAUCAUGGAGCCUCGUCACAAUGCCACCUAACACACAGUGCCAUGAUUUUGAAUGAGCCAUUUGUCCUCUCUGUGCUAUUUCCUCAUCUGCAAAAUAAUGAGACUGGAGACUGGAGCAGGUGACUUCUAAAGUCCCUUUGGGGUCUAAAUUUCUUUAAUUCUACAAAAAUACUGACAGACUGAAAAAAAAAUCUCUUGUGACUUAUUCCAACUUUGCCAUCCCUUGGAUAAUUCUGUGAUUAUUAAAGACUAUUUUGUGCCUUUCUUUUUUUAUGCAUGAACUCUGGCUUCCAACAGUACAACUUAACCCUUGCUCAAAGCUUUGCAAAUGCUACCUUUUUAUCCUCAAAAUAUGUGGUGAGCUAUGUGGAAAAGAAUUAAACUGCUUUUUAUAUUUCGUUUGUAUCUUGUUACAUGAAGGAUUGAAGAUAACUAAUAAACUCAGCUCAGAGCUAGAGUGAAUGUUCCUUUGAGAACUGAAACCAAAAGUUUGGCCAUUCUCAUUUCAUCUUACAUGCAGAUCGGAGUUCUCCUUCCCCUUCCUCUCUUUCCUCGAGCGUUCAAUCGUGUGUUUGCCUAAGAAACCAUUUUUUCACUUGGUCAAGAGCUUUAGUGUCAUUUAAUUAUCUUAGGUGCAUAUAUUUUUUGUCUCAUAUUGAUUGUUAGUCUUUUGGAGACAUAGAUGGUGAUCCUGCAUUUUUAAAAAAUUCCUUUUGGGGUAAGGACAGUGACUUGUCUGUUGAAAACUUGGUACAAAUUUGCUGAGGGAAGAGAAAUCUAAAAUAGAUUAAUUCAUCAAAAAAUUCCAGAGCAUCAACUGUGUGCCAGCUACUGGGCUAAGCAUGGAGGAUUCAAAGAUAAAUAAAACAGAAGCCUUGUUUUCAAGGAGUUCGAAGACUCAAGGUUAAGGCAGAUCCACAGAGGUGCCAGCCUUACUGCACUGCAUAGUAUUUUAUAUUAAUAUAUACACAUCAUCUGUGUAUAGAGUACUUCAAUAUCCAGAAAGGAAACAA
rnacentral:lncRNA from 10 species